rfam:Ictidomys tridecemlineatus contig079291, whole genome shotgun sequence.
UGGGCGGUAGCUUAGAGGCAGAGUGCUUGCCUAGCAUGCAUGAGGCACUGGGUUCAAUCCUCAGCACCACAU